rnacentral:lncRNA from 1 species
UUAUUAGAUAGGGAGUAUAAUUGUUGUUGGAACAAUCCAAACAUAAUGAAAUAAGAAAAACAAGCAUAUUCAAAUAAAUAAAACAGCAGAUUUCAAAGUAUCUUUGUACCAUGUUUUGUUCUUUUAAACAGUACAAACCAUUCAUGUGCCAAACAAUAUUCUAGCAAAGGUUGCAUUCUAAAUCUAAUAAAUUGUAGUAUAGUGGUGGUGGUGGGGGUCCUUGUGUCCAACUGAUAGUUUGUGAAGAUUUUGAACUUUUUUUAUGCCUUCUGGUAUUAAGUGGAGCUGCGGCAUAUUCCGACUUAAAAGUACCAAGUAUAUAUUCUAGAUUUUUUUAAUUUCACUUAAAUACAUCCUUAAAUCUUUUACAUGAAAUUUAAUACAUGAGUGGUUUAUCAUGUUUAUACUGUCAGAAAAAAAUGUAAGUUUUCAGUCAAGAUUGAAAUGAAAAAUCAAUUUUGAUUUGAAGAUAUGACAAUUAAAACAGGGGAAAAAUUUGAAGGAACAUUAAAUCUAAGAUGACAGGAAUAAAGCAUUUUCUUAUCACAAAAAGUUGACAUCACCCUCCUAUUUUACCUCUUUUUUUUCUUUUUUCUUUUUUUUUUAAAUAAAGAGUGAGAAAAAUAAAUGCCUUAAUGAU